UACGAAGGUGGCGAGCGUUGUUCGGAAUCACUGGGCUUAAAGCGCACGUAGGCGGCCCAUCAAGUGCCUUGUGAAAUCCCACGGCUCAACCGUGGAAUUGCUUGGUAUACUGUUCGGGCUUGAGGCAGGUAGGGGCACGUGGAACUCUUGGUGGAGCGGUGGAAUGCGUAGAUAUCAAGAGGAACGCCGGUGGCGAAAGCGGCGUGCUGGGCCUGUCCUGACGCUGAGGUGCGAAAGCCAGGGGAGCAAACGGG
rnacentral:rRNA from 1 species